rnacentral:rRNA from 1 species
UGCCAGCCGCCGCGGUAAUACGGAGGGUGCAAGCGUUAUCCGGAUUUAUUGGGUUUAAAGGGUUCGCAGGCGGAAAAUUAAGUCAGUGGUGAAAGCCUACAGCUCAACUGUAGAACUGCCAUUGAUACUGAUUUUCUUGAGUGUAGUUGAAGUGGGCGGAAUGUGUCAUGUAGCGGUGAAAUGCAUAGAUAUGACACAGAACACCGAUAGCGAAGGCAGCUCACUAAACUAUUACUGACGCUCAUGAACGAAAGCGUGGGGAGCGAACAGGAUUAGAUA